rnacentral:rRNA from 12 species
AGUAUCGGCUAAUUGUGUGCCAGCAGCCGCGGGAAUACACAGGAUGCCAGU